rnacentral:rRNA from 1 species
GAUGAACGCUGGCGGCGUGCCUAAUACAUGCCAGUCGAGCGUACAGAUAAGGAGCUUGCUCCUUUGACGUUAGCGGCGGACGGGUGAGUAACACGUGGGUAACCUAUCUAUAAGACUGGAAUAACUCCGGGAAACCGGGGCUAAUGCCGGAUAACAUGUUGAACCGCAUGGUUCUACAGUGAAAGGCGGCUUUGCUGUCACUUAUAGAUGGACCCGCGCCGUAUUAGCUAGUUGGUGAGGUAACGGCUCACCAAGGCAACGAUACGUAGCCGACCUGAGAGGGUGAUCGGCCACACUGGAACUGAGACACGGUCCAGACUCCUACGGGAGGCAGCAGUAGGGAAUCUUCCGCAAUGGGCGAAAGCCUGACGGAGCAACGCCGCGUGAGUGAUGAAGGUCUUCGGAUCGUAAAACUCUGUUAUUAGGGAAGAACAAAUGCGUAAGUAACUGUGCGCGUCUUGACGGUACCUAAUCAGAAAGCCACGGCUAACUACGUG